rnacentral:rRNA from 1 species
UACGUAGGGUCCGAGCGUUGUCCGGAAUUAUUGGGCGUAGAGGGCUCGUAGGCGGUUUGUCACGUCGGGAGUGAAAACUCAGGGCUCAACCCUGAGCGUGCUUCCGAUACGGGCAGACUAGAGGUAUGCAGGGGAGAACGGAAUUCCUGGUGUAGCGGUGGAAUGCGCAGAUAUCAGGAGGAACACCGGUGGCGAAGGCGGUUCUCUGGUCCGGACCUGACGCUGAGGCGCGAAAGCGUGGGGAGCAAACAGG